rnacentral:rRNA from 1 species
UACGUAGGGGGCAAGCGUUGUCCGGAAUCAUUGGGCGUAAAGAGCGUGUAGGCGGCUCGGUAAGUCCGCUGUGAAAGUCCAGGGCUCAACCCUGGAAUGCCGGUGGAAACUGUCGAGCUAGAGUCCGGAAGAGGCGAGUGGAAUUCCUGGUGUAGCGGUGAAAUGCGCAGAUAUCAGGAGGAACACCAAUGGCGAAGGCAGCUCGCUGGGACGGUACUGACGCUGAGACACGAAAGCCAGGGGAGCAAACGGG